rnacentral:rRNA from 1 species
GACGAACGCUGGCGGCGUGCUUAACACAUGCAAGUCGAGCGGUAAGGCCCUUUCGGGGGUACGACGAGCGGCGAACGGGUGAGUAACACGUGGGUGACCUGCCCUCAGCUCUGGGAUAAGCCUGGGAAACCGGGUCUAAUACCGGAUAUGACUCCAUGACGCAUGUUGUGGGGUGGAAAGCCUUGUGCGGCUGAGGAUGGGCCCGCGGCCUAUCAGCUUGUUGGUGGGGGNGAU